AUGCGUACAGUGCCAGAGCAGCCCCUGCUCUGGAUAAGAGCCAGGGGAAAGAAAGUGUUGGGUUCAGACUUCUUGGAUGGACCACACAGCAGAAACUCAGGUGAGACUAAAAGCCAGGCAGAAAGUGAAUGCCUCUACACUAGAGAUUCAGUUGUUGUGUUUACAAGAACAGCUAACAGAAACCUGAAGAAUUUAGGAAGGAAAAGAGCUCUUUGAUGGGAGCCGAAUUCCACAGGAGUUACUUUGAAUUACACCAGCCAGCUGGAGACCCAGGGAAGGCUGAUUUUCCAUUGCCUGGCACCUUGUAGAAUCAUUUACACUCUUCAAGCGAACAUAAAAAAGUUACCAACCAUAACAGCACCAUUUAACACCCACUUUGUAGAGGUGCUAAUGUCUAAACAAAGUAUAAGGUCAUAGAGCACACGGCCCAGAGAAAUUCAAUUAGGAGUGGUGGCUGAGGAAGUGCAGGCUCCCCUCCUGCACUGACAGCCAGGGCGCGCCUCCCCCACCUCCCCAGACGGUGCACCGCCUUUCUGUGGGAACACAGCACAGCGGUCAAAUAAUUUUUCAGAGUUUACCUUUUGGUGGGUGUCACACAUGCUGGAGAACUGCACCCCUGUGAUCUCCUGUCAUCUGGGGUGAUGUUUCUGAGACGGCCACAGCGCUCUGCCUGUUUUCACCUCAGCCAGCACAGGGCCUGUCCCCACAGGAAACAUGCAGAACGCCGCCAUUAUCUGAAAUGAGAGCACAGGAGGGAGGUUGGGAUGCUUCCUCAAGAUGGCGGGCAUGACCCACAGGAAUCUUGUCAGCCCAAAGCCCACUUGGCAGACCUGAGCAUGGGGUAGCUGUGCCCCUGCUUGUCUCACAGGCUGAAGACCAGAGCUCUGACUGCCGGCUCACCUCAGUGGCUUUCUUGCACUGGAGCCUGACGUUUAGCAUUUGCCGCCAUUUUCCCAGCCAUUUCUCACUCCCUAACUCCAACCGCCACACUCCCUCAACCUGGGUUGUGAGACCCAGCCUUUGUCAAGGCAUGAGAGCCUGUCCCUCACGGUGGGGCUGUCAGCCAGGGAGCCCGAGCUGCUUCCCCCUGUCCUCCUCAGGAUGGGGCCCUUCUGUGGUGGCCACCUCACGCCUUUUCAUCUUCCUGGAAUGCCUGGAUUUUUAUUUUUUUUUAUUUUUUUAACGUAACCUUGAGGCAGCAGUUUUAUUUUUAUUU
rnacentral:lncRNA from 1 species